GGCCUUUCUGCGCGGCCCGGGGCGCUGGGGCGCGGCGGUGGGGAUGCGGGGCGCCCUGCGGCGGGUGCCCCUCUCGGCGGGUGCCCCUCUCGGCGGGUGCCCGGCGGCGGGGGCGGUGCUGCCGGUGGCUCUGUGGCUUGUGAGCGGUUCCGUCCGUGCCGCAGCGGUAGCUUGGGCCGCCGGGCGCUCCGGCAGCGGCAGGGCGCUAUGAUUAUAAAUCCAAUUCUGGCAGCACAAAACAAUAACUAUAAGCUGAGGAACUGAAGGGGCGGGUCGCUGGCACCGUUCCCUUAACGGCGUAAGGCAUCACUUAAAAGGUGCUGUGACAUCAGAUGACCUUCUCCACUGUCUCCAAACCCUGUGUAUGCACAUACAGCCAACAGCAGACUGCAUCCACCUCUAGAAGAAUGGGUGUUUAAGGUGCUUGAACACAGCAGCCUGAAAUGUGGAGUUCUAAUGCACUUGGAAAUGCUUUCCUGGCCCUUCCUGUUCCUCAGAAAUAUGGCUUGAUUCAACAGCAAGGCAGGGGAGCAGCUGUUCUGUGAACAAUCCUCAGAUGAUGUUCAGCUGAAACUCUAGAAAGGGAAACAGCCCUGUGGGCACUUGGAGAACUCAGUAUGAAUACCUAACUGUACCAAAUUGAAGAAAAUUGAAUAAAUUGAGUGUUAAAACCUGUA
rnacentral:lncRNA from 1 species